CAGUAGCCGCGGGAAUACGUAGGUGGCAAGCGUUGUCCGGAAUUAUUGGGCGUAAAGGGCUCGCAGGCGGUUUCUUAAGUCUGAUGUGAAAGCCCCCGGCUCAACCGGGGAGGGUCAUUGGAAACUAGGAAACUUGAGUGCAGAAGAGGAGAGUGGAAUUCCACGUGUAGCGGUGAAAUGCGUUGAGAUCGGAAAGAACACCAGCGGCGAAAGCACUCUGCUGGGCCGACACUGACACUGAGGGACGAAAGCUAGGGGAGCAAAUGGGAUUAGAUACCCCUGUAGUCCCUGUCUCUUAUAC
rnacentral:rRNA from 1 species